AGUGAACGCUGGCGGUAGGCCUAACACAUGCAAGUCGAACGGCAGCACAGUAAGAGCUUGCUCUUACGGUUGGCGAGUGGCGGACGGGUGAGGAAUACAUCGGAAUCUACUUUUUCGUGGGGGAUAACGUAGGGAAACUUACGCUAAUACCGCAUACGACCUACGGGUGAAAGCAGGGGAUCUUCGGACCUUGCGCGAUUGAAUGAGCCGAUGUCGGAUUAGCUAGUUGGCGAGGUAAAGGCCAACCAAGGCGACGAUCCGUAGCUGGUCUGAGAGGAUGAUCAGCCACACUGGAACUGAGACACGGUCCAGACUCCUACGGGAGGCAGCAGUGGGGAAUAUUGGACAAUGGGCGCAAGCCUGAUCCAGCCAUACCGCGUGAGUGAAGAAGGCCUUCGGGUUGUAAAGCCCUUUUGUUGGGAAAGAAAAGCAGCAGGUUAAUACCCCGCUGUUCUGACGGUACCCAAAGAGUAAGCACCGGCUAACUUCGUG
rnacentral:rRNA from 1 species